rnacentral:rRNA from 1 species
AACGAACGCUGGCGGCAGGCUUAACACAUGNNNGUCGAGCGCCCCCUCGGGGGAGCGGCAGACGGGUGAGUAAUGCAUGGGAAUCUACCUGGCUCUACGGAAUAACUCAGGGAAACUUGAACUAAUACCGUAUACGUCCCUCGGGAGAAAGAUUUAUCGGAGUUAGAUGAGCCCAUGUCUGAUUAGCUAGUUGGUGAGGUAAAGGCUCACCAAGGCGACGAUCAGUAGCUGGUCUGAGAGGAUGAUCAGCCACACUGGGACUGAGACACGGCCCAGACUCCUACGGGAGGCAGCAGUGAGGAAUAUUGGACAAUGGGCGGGAGCCUGAUCCAGCCAUGCCGCGUGCAGGAAGACUGCCCUAUGGGUUGUAAACUGCUUUUUUACGGGAAGAAACACCCCCACGUGUGGGGGCUUGACGGUACCGUACGAAUAAGGACCGGCUAACUCCGUGCCAGCAGCCGCGGUAAUACGGAGGGUCCAAGCGUUAUCCGGAAUCAUUGGGUUUAAAGGGUCCGUAGGCGGGCGUCUAAGUCAGUGGUGAAAUCUCGCGGCUCAACCGUGAAAUUGCCAUUGAUACUGGUCGCCUUGAAUUAGUGUGAAGUGGCUAGAAUAUGUAGUGUAGCGGUGAAAUGCUUAGGUAUUACAUAGAAUACCGAUUGCGAAGGCAGGUCACUAACACUAUAUUGACGCUGAUGGACGAAAGCGUGGGGAGCGAACAGGAUUAGAUACCCUGGUAGUCCACGCCGUAAACGAUGGAUACUAGCUGUCCGGCCUGCAUUGGUAGGCUGGGUGGCCAAGCGAAAGUGAUAAGUAUCCCACCUGGGGAGUACGUUCGCAAGAAUGAAACUCAAAGGAAUUGACGGGGGCCCGCACAAGCGGUGGAGCAUGUGGUUUAAUUCGAUGAUACGCGAGGAACCUUACCAGGGCUUAAAUGUAGUCUGACAGGGGUGGAAACACCCCCUUCUUCGGACAGACUGCAAGGUGCUGCAUGGUUGUCGUCAGCUCGUGCCGUGAGGUGUCAGGUUAAGUCCUAUAACGAGCGCAACCCCUGUCGUUAGUUGCCAGCAUGUAAAGAUGGGAACUCUAACGAGACUGCCGGUGCAAACCGUGAGGAAGGUGGGGAUGACGUCAAAUCAUCACGGCCCUUACGUCCUGGGCCACACACGUGCUACAAUGGCAGGUACAAUGGGCAGCCACGCCGCAAGGCGGAGCGAAUCCACAAAACCUGUCUCAGUUCGGAUCGGGGUCUGCAACUCGACCCCGUGAAGCUGGAAUCGCUAGUAAUCGGAUAUCAGCCAUGAUCCGGUGAAUACGUUCCCGGGCCU